CGCGUCCGCUUCUAUUUCUUCGCUGUUAACGCCUUUGACUCAGCUUUGAACUUAUGCAGGUUUCACUCCUUUAUGAGCUGGUUAUGACUUUCUUGUCCCUUUUUGACCAAACACUGCAAACAAGUAUAAUAAGUUAGCUUUCAGAAAUACUUGUACACACUUUUAAUCCAAAAUUUAAGCAAAAAGGAGCAUAAAAUAGGUUAGAAUCCUUAGUUAUCAGCUGCUUGCCCAAUUUUUAGGAAGUCUGUGACUGGUUACUACAUUGUUCUUGGGGGUUCUCCUAUUUCCUGGAAAUCUAAGAAACAACAGACUAUUUCUUUGUCUUCUUCUAAAGCAGAAUAUCGAGCCCUCAGGAAGGUUGUUGCUAAGGUGACAUGGCUGAUUCAUUUAUUAUGUGACAUGGGUUUGGUGAUCUCUUCUCGUGUCCUAGUAUAUUGUGAUAGUCAGGCUGCCCUUCACAUUGCUAAGAAUCAUGUGUUUCACGAGUGCACCAAACAUAUAGAGGUUGAUUGUUAUUAUGUUCGUGAUGUGCUUUCCACUGGUUUAAUCUCUCUUCACCAUAUCUCCACAACUCACCAACUUGCUGAUGUUUUGACUGAGGCUUUGAUAGGUAUUCCUCAUCACAGGCUAUUGUCCAAGCUGGGUGUGUUCCUUCCCACCAACUUGGGGGGGGGGGGAGGGGGUUAUGGAGUCCAAGUACCAAGCACAACCAAAACAGAUCCAUGCCAAUCAUUUCAUAUUGGGCCCACUAGUGUUUGGGCUUUAUUUUUCAUUUUGGGGACCUGGCCUUGUCCGAUUUUAAUUAUACUCUUUUGUAAAUAACUAGAAGGACUACUCUGUAAUUUUUUCAAUGAAUGAGACUUUCAUUUUAUUUAGCUCAAGUCUCUGUCGUCUCUCCCGUUCUCUUUAAGACUAGGGUUUUCUUCUUCUUUAAUCUCCAUUUUAAUGGCAAAAUCUUAGCUUAACACACAAUUUAGCAAUGAGAAAACCAGGCCCUCUACGCAAUCAACACCAAAACAUUUUGAGGCCAUUCAUCUUUUUUAGGAGUGUUCUGUGUGCAAACAAAAUCCAACAUUGAUAGCUGAAAAGAUUAGGGGACUACAUAUAAUGUGUAGGGAUCUCUUAAUGGUGUGAGGCCUUUUGGAAAAAACCGUGCGUGCUCUGCCCAAAGUGUACACUAUCACGUCAUGUUAAGAGUAUUUUUGGGCCGUUUUAGCCAAACAGAGCUCAGGUUUAGCGGGACGAGUACAGAGAUGGCAAAGUAAUAGUGGGGGUCAACGCGCACACAGGUAGAAACUAGUUGCGGGCUUCGGUUGCCAUAAUACUCUAACAAUAUGGGUGACACACAGUGAAUCUAAAAAAUAGACCCGUGAAUCGUGUUAGUGAGCCACGUGGAACUUAGUUCGAGGGGGAGAUUGUUGGAUGUGCGAACAAGGUCCCACAUUGGUAGCUGAAAAGAUUGGGAGGCUAUAUAUAAGGUGUAUGGAUCUCUUAAUGGUGUGACGCUUUCUGGAAAAAACUGUGCGGACUUAGCCCAAAACGGACAAUAUUACACCAUGUUAAAAAUAUUUUUGUGCGGUUUAGCCCAACAAGGAGUAUAACACCCCUUCGUAAAUCAUAACUCAAAUUUCAAUCAUGAUUAUUUAAUUCUCGAAAGGUAAGAGAAAAACUUCUCAAUUCGAGGGAAAAUAAAAGGAAAACAGCGAAUAAACAUUAUUGCACCAGUAAGCUAGGCUAGCUCUAACCGCUUGUUUCUUUCUCGUACGUCUUUGCAUGGCUAAAGAUAUAAUGGAAAGAAAGAGUACAGUUGGAAAGCGAAACUGCGCAAAUAUGCAAUACACAUUAAUAAAAUGUGAGAAUAUUGUUGAGGCUCCAAUUGAAUUCUCUAACCAAGUGGUAGGACUGAAAGAUGACAGACAGCAUUUUAUCCAUAUAUGUAACUAAAGCUCUUAUAUUUUGACAAAAAAUCUCCAAGAUUCAGACAUGGUUAAUAAUUGUCCUCUCAUGUAUCUGCUGAGAAGUGUGGUAAGCUAAGUAAAUAUGUAGACGUUUGGACAUAAAAUUUAUGAUCUUUUUAAAAAAGGUAAUUUUUGGAGUUAAGAUGAAAAAAAGUAUUUGGAAUUCACUCCAAAAAUACUGAUUUGAGAUGUCGUCCAUACUGAUUUCUCUUUGAUACGUAAUCACAAUAAACAUAUGAAAUAAAAUGGAGAGUGCAUUAGUGUCUUGGCACUUAUGGGUCAUAUUAAUUAAUCAAAAUCUGUUGUCUAUAUUAUUGUAUAUUCGCAGCAUAAAUAUGAAUCAUCACGUCGUAAAGUUGUUCUUCUUCCUACUGCCAAAGACGACGUUGUCCACUUAAUUAACACCGUUAGUAGAAGACAUAAUUGGCUGGCUUUACGUUCCUUCAUUCUUCAUGCAUGUUAUACACAUUUCUUUUGCUUAUGAUAAAAACAAAUUAAUUUCAUAAGCGAAAUAAUGCUAUAUAUUUCAAUCAACUCUGGUUUUCGAAAGGUAAGGGGUUUGUUUUAUUAAAAGUGGGGCUGCUAACUUUUAAUUUUUAAAUUAUUAAGUUUAUUUUAAUAUACAUUUUUUGACAUAUUAAUAUGGUUUCGUUAGUGUAUUGAAAUUGACUACACAUCGUUAUUUCUUUCUUACUUACUUAUUUUCGGAAACAAAUUAAAUUUCUUUGUAAAAGAAAAAAAAAAUGAAACGUUAGGAUACAGUGAUCUUUUUUGAAAAUAAUUAUAAUUUGUCAACAUGCUGUACAAUAAUAUCUGAGAAGAUUUGUAGCAGUAAAUUUCCACCGCACAAACAGGUUCAAUUCGCUAGUUUUGUCUUGUGUAGUAUUUCACUCCCGACAGAGGCAGAAUUAGAAUUUUUAGUUUAUGAAUCUUAUUUGCUUACUGAGUCCAACUGCUUAAAUUAUUUAUAUAUAUUAAAUAAUUUUUUUUAAUACAAAUAUAAAAUUUGAGUCAAAUUUAUUAGAUUAUACUGAACCCGUAGCUAUAAUGGUGGCUCCACUCACCAUGUCUCAUGUGACAAUAAUUUUCUUAACUGAAAAAAUAUAUUUUUAAUAUUUGAUUACUCCAAUACUUGUAAAGGUAUUACUUUUUAAGAAAAUAUCUCAACUUUUACUCUGUAUCACUUAGUUAAUCUAACAGCUAGACAUUUUUUCAAUCUUUAAAAUUCAUAAUUAAGGUGAAAUCAUUAAUCUUAAACUGCAUCUUAAACUUUCCAAGAUUAUUAUGCAUAUCACCAACUUUGUUUUUCAACCAAAGCAGGGUUGCUCUAUAGAUUUUAUGGCCUAAAGUUAAAAGAAAUUAAAAGGCCCUUAAUUUAUUUUUUUGUAAAAUCCAUAUAAUAAUGUGAUACAAAGCAAACGCCUAGGACUUCGGCCGUAGUAAGUGUACAAUGCGUGAUAUGUGAAUUAAGUGCACAUCACGGUUUGGAACUAUGUGUAAAUAGAAAUAUAGCAUUAAUCAAGUGGAAGAAGGUAGAGGGAGCCAUGGCUAAAAUCUGUCGACUUUCUAACAUUGUGCCCUAUUGCAUUUGGGGAUUUCUCUUAAAAUGAUGAACAAAAAAAAUUACUUUGUAAUUGAUGGAUCAAUAAAAAUAUGGUGAAAAGAAAUAGACAAUUCAGAGAAAUUGAGUUAAAAUUAAAAAGUAAAAUCAUUAGAAUAUACAUACACACGCAUAUAUAUAUAUAUAUAUAUAUAUAUGAGUGCACAUAGACGAGAAAAAAAUUAUAUUUGAUAAUAAAGGUAAAUUGGGGCCCUUAAUAUUUUGGGGCCUAAGACAAUGGCUUUCUUUGCCUUACUCUUAGGCUGCCUCUGAACCAAAGUGACAAGAAAAAAUUAUAUUUGAUAACGAAGGUAAAUUGGGGCCUAAGACAAUGGCUUUCUUUGCCUUACCCUUAGGCCGCCACUGAACCAAAGCUAAUUUCUCAUGGCUCAAAUACUUUUCACAAUACUAAUUUUGAAAAAAAUCAGCAUCCAAUUGUAUUAAUUGAUGUUGAUUUUUAUGUAGAAAUUAGAUAACCCCAAAUUCUAACCAAAUAUUAUAUAAACUAAUAUAAUGUUGAUUCUUAUGUGUAGAUAUAUAUAUACCCAAAACCUCACCAAAAGAACCCUAAAAGAUUUCUUUCACGUAACUCGUGAAUCAUGAAAUGAAGCUAAUGGACAAGUGCCUAUCGAUCUGUUCCUUUUUAUUUGUACAUGUUUCUAAUAUAAGAGGGGUAUAGAGUUAAAAGAAGGAGUUAAAAAUAUUAAAAUCGUCUUCAUAGAUGGUAUAUAUGAUAUGACUGAUGGUAUGAUAAUAUUAACAAUAUCAAAUGCAGUUGUUUUCUAUAUAAAUCUGAACAAAUACUACUAUUGUAUUGUAGAUAUAUAAAAUUUACGGCCAAAUCUACUAUUGAAUAAAAUCCGAUUUCUAUGUCUAAUAUAAAUUCUUCCAAACUUUGAGUAAGGCUCCUAGCAAAGCUUUCUGGAUUUGUAUAGUUAUUAGGAUUAUAGGACAUUAACAAUAAAAUUAUUUUUUGCGAUUAAACUCUUGUGUUGUGAAAAUCCUACUCGGUACUCUCUCUCUCUUAUUCAAUAGACUUGUAUAGUUACCAUAUUAUCUAAAUUAUGAACUGAGAUUACCCCUUUACUACUCUUUUUUUUAAUCCACUCUUUUCAUCUCUUCUUCCCAAUCUUUUAAAGAUUUUAACACUUUUCUUAACUCUUAUUUCUUUAACCUCACCCCGGCCAUGGUUAAACACUUAUACCCUUCUUAAUUAUUUUCGGGUUUUACUUAACCAAUUUCUCCUAAGAAUUUACAGGUUAAUCCAUCAUAAUUGUUAAGAAAUUGGGAAGCUAACCAUAUACUAAGAGUGAUAUCUAAUAAUCGAGCAUAUGAACGUGAAACAUAAAACUAUACAGAAUAACAAUUUUUUAAAAAAUAAACAGGGGUAAUAUCUAGCAGAAACAUAAUUUAGAUAAAGAUGAGUAACUUACAUGCUUAUAGGAGAGAGAUUUCCCUUUCGGGAAACCCCAAAAAGACUACUGAGCUUUGAGAAUUAAAAACGAUCACACAUAAUCAUAAAGACUCAUUUAUUUUACAAGCUUAGAGGAGGAACUACUAAAGUAUUCAUAAAGAAAUAUUUUACAAAGUGUUUUGGGAGAGGGAUUUUGGUUGAUGAUGAAAAGUUGGUUGGAGGGGUUUUCUUCAGAGUGUUUUUCUUCUUGUUCUCUCUUGUUUUUCUUCUCCCUUUUAUAGCUAAAUUUUUU
rnacentral:lncRNA from 1 species